rnacentral:rRNA from 1 species
CUCUAUCCUCCGCAGGCGCAGGGAACUUGCGAGGAGCUGCCCCUAGUACGAGAGGACCGGGGUGGACGCACCGCUGGUGUACCAGUUGUCUCGCCAGAGGCAUUGCUGGGUAGCUACGUGCGGAAUGGAUAACCGCUGAAAGCAUCUAAGCGGGAAGCCAGCCUCAAGAUUAGGUUCCCCACUCUCGCUGCAUUGCGGCGAGAGGUAAGACCCCAGAGAGAUUAUCUGGUUGAUAGGCCGCAGGUGUAAGCGCGGUAACGCGUUCAGCCGAGCGGUACUAAUGGUCGAGGACUUAGCCGC